rnacentral:rRNA from 1 species
AUUGAACGCUGGCGGCAGGCUUAACACAUGCAAGUCGAGCGGGGUGAUGGUGCUUGCACUAUCACUUAGCGGCGGACGGGUGAGUAAUGCUUAGGAAUCUGCCUAUUAGUGGGGGACAACAUCUCGAAAGGGAUGCUAAUACCGCAUACGUCCUACGGGAGAAAGCAGGGGAUCACUUGUGACCUUGCGCUAAUAGAUGAGCCUAAGUCGGAUUAGCUAGUUGGUGGGGUAAAGGCCUACCAAGGCGAAGAUCUGUAGCGGGUCUGAGAGGAUGAUCCGCCACACUGGGACUGAGACACGGCCCAGACUCCUACGGGAGGCAGCAGUGGGGAAUAUUGGACAAUGGGGGGAACCCUGAUCCAGCCAUGCCGCGUGUGUGAAGAAGGCCUUAUGGCUGUAAAGCACUUUAAGCGAGGAGGAGGCUCUUUUGGUUAAUACCCAAGAUGAGUGGACGUUACUCGCAGAAUAAGCACCGGCUAACUCUGUGCCAGCCGCCGCAGUAA